GGGGGGGGGGGGGGGGGGGGGGGGGGGGGGGAGGUGGGGGGGGUGAAGGGGGCUUGCGGCUGGAUGCAGCGGCGGACGGGGGGGGAAUGCCUAGGAAUCUGCCUGGUAGUGGGGGAUAACGUCCGGAACAGGGCGCUACUACCGCAUACGUCCGGAGGGGGCAGUUGGGGGAUCUUCGGACCUCACGCUAUGAGCUGAUCCUAGGUCGGAUUAGCUAGUUGGUGGGGUAACGGCCUACCAAGGCGACGAUCCGUAACUGGUCUGAGAGGAUGAUCAGUCACCAUGGAACUUAGACACGGUCCAGACUCCUACGGGAGGCAGCAGUGGGGAAUAUUGGACAAUGGGCGAAAGCCUGAUCCAGCCAUGCCGCGUGUGUGAAGAAGGUCUUCGGAUUGUAAAGCACUUUAAGUUGGGAGGAAGGGCAGUAAGUUAAUACCUUGCUGUUUUGACGUUACCAACAGAAUAAGCACCGGCUAACUUCGUG
rnacentral:rRNA from 1 species